UCCGGUUUGGUACCGGCAGUCUUCCUAGAGUCCCCGCCAGACAGGGUAACUGGCAGCGGGGGUUGCGCUCGUUGCGGGACUUAACCCAACACCUCACGGCACGAGCUGACGACAGCCAUGCAGCAUCUGCGCACGCUCCCUUGCGGGUCCUUCCCCUUUCGGGGUCGUACCACGUGCAUGUCAAGCCCAGGUAAGGUUCUUCGCGUUGCAUCGAAUUAAACCACAUGCUCCACCGCUUGUGCGGGCCCCCGUCAAUUCCUUUGAGUUUCACCCUUGCGAGCGUACUCCCCAGGUGGAAUACUUAUCAGGUUUCCUUCGGCACUGAUCAAAAAAGACCAACACCAAGUAUGCAUCGUUUAGGGCGUGGACUAC
rnacentral:misc_RNA from 1 species